UCCUAGUUUUCAACAUCAGACUCCAAACUGCACAUGUUUCCCCACUCCUAAUCUUUUUAUGAAAAGCAUAUAUGCCAAUAAGGUAUGGUCUUUCUUUGCCAAUUUCUAGGAAUACUUCAUCAAAAUCAUAGUAGCCUCAUAUUGAGUUGGUGGGGAUAUAAAAAAUGACUAAUUGGAUUUUUCUAAAAAAUAAACAUAUUAAGGAAUUGAUGCAAAAGCAGUAAUUAUACAUAUGAAAUUUUCCUCCUUUUGAAAGAAAAGAAAGAUCUUGAAGUUUUUUCAAACAUACCCACUUCUUUUUAUUUGUGCCAACUACGGUAGUUCCAGUCUUCUUGAUCAUGUUUGCCUGAAAAAAAACAUUAAAUUGAUUAUUUUGAUACUUUACGAAAUACAAAACUUAACAUUUCAUUGAAUACAUAAGUGUGCCAAUUUUUCCAGAAGGAAAAUAAAAAAAAGAAGAUAUAUGCUUGCUUCAACAAAACAAACAAACAUAUCUUUAAGAGUCGAAGCAACACAAUACCAGAAUUUUGGUAUCCUGCUUGAUACUUCCCCAUAGGAAAGAGACAUGACUUUCCUAGUUACUCUGUGGCAGUUCAAACAUUAAAAGCAGAACAACAAUAGAAGUUCUGUAAACAUCAUAGUCCAAAGAAAUUGUUUAUAGUCUGGUUCAAACUUGAAUCUUUAAGAGAAAUCUCAAUAAGAGUAUAUCCAACAAUCCAAUAAUCCUCUCCUAGGUCGAGUCAUUUUAAAUAACUAUUGUACCACUUACGAGAUCUAUACUAUAAACUUAAAAGCACAUCCUUGUAAUAUCAUAGUUAACAAAAAACAUCCUUCAAAUAUCUAAACAUUAACAAAUCCCAUCCAUUAGUUAAAGACCGUUAAAAAUCUAACGGAGUGGGUGAAAUUCACUAAAAACCUCCUCAGAUUUGAACACUUCACAUUCUCUCAUUUCUCAGAAAUAUGAAUUUUAACUCAUGAUUGUUUUCAUAUGCGGUAUAUGUGUUGUUCAGACUGUCUUUACUCUUAAUUAGAAUAAGGUAAAUUAAAGGCAAUAGCAAGUAUAGUUAGUUUUUUUCGAUAAUGAUCCAAAACCAAUGAAGGUAACAGUGUCCAUAUUCUACAAAAACAGGAAAUAUUUUCCCUCUCAAUUUGGUUCUUUAUUUUUAGCAAUCAAAAUUUAGCUAAGAGCUAACAACUUAUUGUUAUUAUGCUAAUGUAUAUGUAUAUGCUUUGGCAAAAAAAAAAAAAAUCAUAAAAGUGUCAGAAAUGUCAAUCCAAUUACAUCUUGUGCAUAUUUCAUCUGGUAAUGCUACUAACAUAUUUCUCGUUUCAUUCACAUUAUAAUACAUAUUUACAAAAUCUCCUAUUUUCUAUCUUUCAUUUUGUUUCUGCUCUUUCACUGUGAGCACUCAAUGGCGUCAGCAGAAAGACGAAGUACUAAUAUUUAGAGAUGAUCGAUGUUGAAUCUACCGGUUAACCAACUUAAGGAGGAAGAAGAUUGACUAUGAUUAAAAAAAAGAACCUAGUUGCAAAUAGGGAAACUAUAGUAGUAUCACAUGACUUUCAAAAUGCUCUAUUAGAUUUCAAGCAGUUCUUGACAGAAGGGUGAAACUUGCUAGAUUUUCAAUAGUUGAAGGAUGUUCCUUGUUCACUAUGAUAUUACAAGGAUGUACUUUAAGUUUGGGGUAUAGUUGAGAGAUGUUUUUAGCCAAAAACUCUAAAUUUCUUUUAUCUCUUUGUAAGUAUUUCUGAUAGUUAAAAGACUCAUAUCCCAAAAAAAAAAACUCGCAGUUCCCAAAAAAGGCAGAAACCAGAAACUACUUAAUGAAAAAAUAUGUUCAUUAUUGUAACCCAUGUUCUUCAGUCUUCUUAUCAAAACCCAUGUUAUGUUGAUUUGACCCAUCAAAUCCUUCAGCACUAGUGUCCAUAUCAACAAAAUUAGAUGUAGGAGGAAUUCCAAAUGCUUCAUGUAACAUGUCUUGCAUCUCAUCACCUUUAUCUAACUGAUUGACCAAUUUUGAUGAAAAUAGCUCCUCACCAUGAUAAAUCCAACUAGUGUAACUAGUUAGAAAUCCAUCAACCACAAUAUGUUCAACAAUCAAAUCUUUUCGAACAAAUUUCAUAUUACGACACUUUCGACAUGGACACAAUAUUGCAGAUGCAUCUGGCCUAUCUAAUGAUGCAAAAUGAAGAAACUCUUUGGCUCCAUUCUCAUAUAAAGGAUCAAGCCUAUUCAAUAUAUUUAUCCAACUUUUAUCCAUUAAGUAUAUAACCUAUACAUAUAGCAAACAAGAAUUAUACCCUCAUACUAUUAAAGACUAAUACCUCCAUACUAUUAAAGAAAAAAACAAAACACAUUCUAACCUGCAAAGUCCACACAAAGAGUCCUGAAAUUGAUAUGUAGUCGACUGACAGGAAAAAAUAAUACAACAUCACAGAUAGACUCAAGGCAGCAUCAUUACCAAGAAGAAGAGCCAUAUCACCAGGAAGAACAGUGGCAAACUCAAAAAAAGAAGAAUAACAAAAACAAUACAAACAAUGAGGAGAGACCUAAGACACCUCAAGAACAGAUGGAUCAGGUAGAUUCCCAGAAAAGUCACAGUCAUAUAGGUAAAAAUAUUAUUACUCAUAACUCUUAUACUGAUCUUGUUGAACCAAAUUAGUCCAACAGUCAAGGUACCGUCUAGGAAAACAUGAUUUGUCUGAGAAGGAAAUUCAAAGGCUUCGAAGAUCACAAGUAUUGACUCAAUGCUCCCAUUACCCCUCACCCCUUUAGAUAAUUGUUUAAAUCUUGUGAAAGCUGUUGGAGUGUUGGAUGGAGGGUUGGAGGAGAAUAUUACUAACUUGCUGAUGGUGAUUUUUCCCCUGUUCUCAGGGAAGGCCAAAGUUUGUACCUUUCAAUGAUGAAUUGACGGAAUCUACUAUGCAGAUAUACAAAACUUCUUUUGCUUUUAGGAAUAGGUAAUGUAGUUUUGGUGGAUUAUCUUAAAAUAAUGCUUGGCAAAUUGCAAUGUCGUUUUUGUCAUAUGUGUUGUCUUUUUCCAUAUUUGUUCUUUGUACUAUCUGAUUGGGGCUGAUUCAGGAAAAGAAAAUGUUCAUUAUUCUUGUUUAUUAUCUUCAAGCCACAAUACUUCAACAUCUUCUUGAAAAUGAAUUAAUUUUGGUUUUCACCUAAUAUGUUCAUCUCAUCUGGAGUACUAAAUGUCACAUCUUUCUUUUAUUGGUUGUCUCAUACUAUUUUCUUAUAUUAGUAUAGUUAGUACUGGUAAUUAAUUGAGUUCUGUUGUAGCUAUUCUUAUUUUCAAUUAUUGUCAUUUUUGCAGAGAAUUCCCAAUUGAGAAUAGGAAGGCAUUGCAGUUCAUUUACAGCAGCAAGUAGUUCAAGACAAAGGGAGGUUUGGCAGCUGGAACUGCAACUACCAAUGUAUAUCAUAAUGCACAUUUCAAGAAGACAAUGAAGGCAAUGCAAACCCCUUAGGAAAGAUAACCAUUAGCUUAAUGGCAUCCUAAUAUCUUACUCUUCGGAUGCCAUUAAGAAAAGAUAACCAUUCUUAAAGCAUGUCUCUAGCACACAUAUCAGCAAAUGGAAAAGAACAGAAUACCUUAAUGUAAUUUCUAAGUUAUAAACAUGAAAAGAAACUACUUAAUAAACAUGAAUGUUUUUCAGUGAACUUCAACACUAGGUUCCUAUUGAUAUGAUUUUUAUG
rnacentral:lncRNA from 1 species